CACUCUGGAAAGCGUCAUCACCCGCGCAUCGGGUGACGGCCGCCGACGGUGAAAGCACAGCAUCCGGUUCGCUCGGGUGCCGCGCGAAACUCUCAGGCCACAGACAGAGGGGG
rnacentral:ncRNA from 1 species